GAUGAACGCUAGCGGCAGGCCUAACACAUGCAAGUCGAGGGGUAACAGGGGAGCUUGCUCCCGCUGACGACCGGCGCACGGGUGCGGAACGCGUAUGGAACCUACCUCAAUCAGGGGGGAUAGCCCAGGGAAACUUGGAUUAAUACCCCAUAGUAUUGUUUUAUUGCAUGAUAAAACAAUUAAAACUUCGGUGGAUUGAGAUGGCCAUGCGUAUCAUUAGCUAGUUGGUAAGGUAACGGCUUACCAAGGCAACGAUGAUUAGGGGCCCUGAGAGGGGGAUCCCCCACACUGGUACUGAGACACGGACCAGACUCCUACGGGAGGCAGCAGUGAGGAAUAUUGGACAAUGGUCGGAAGACUGAUCCAGCCAUGCCGCGUGCAGGAUGACUGCCCUAUGGGUUGUAAA
rnacentral:rRNA from 1 species